UUUGAUCCUGGCUCAAAUUGAACGCUGGCGGCUUGCCUUACCCUUGCAAGUCGAACGGCAGCAUGGAGGAGCUUGCUCCUCUGAUGGCGAGGGGCGAACGGGUGAGUAAAGCAUCGGACCGUGCCGGGUAGUGGGGAAUAACGUACCAAAAGUUACCCUAAUCCCGCAUACGCACCGAGGUGGAAAGCAGGGGAUUCCAAAAACCUUGGCCUUUAUACGAGCGGCCGAUGUCAAAUUAGCUAGUUGGUAGGGUAAAGGCCUACCAAGGCGACAAUCUGUAGCGGGUCUGAAAGGAUGAUCCGCCACACUGGGACUGAAACACGGCCCAAACUCCUACGGGAGGCAGCAGGGGGGAAUUUUGGACAAUGGGGGAAACCCUGAUCCAGCCAUGCCGCGUGAGUGAAAAAGGCCUUCGGGUUGUAAAGCUCUUUCGGCUGGAAAAAAAUCGCACAGGCUAAUACUCUGUGUGGAUGACGGUACCAGCAUAAAAAGCACCGGCUAACUACGUG
rnacentral:rRNA from 1 species